rnacentral:rRNA from 1 species
AUGUGGUGUGGGCGCCGAUUCAAAAUCACUAGCGAGUCCUACUUCAACUGCAAUGCAAUGGGAAAAGAAGCAAGGAGUACAAGGAACACACAUUAUGUUAACAGAAUGAGCGUCUUGAGCUGGUGCGGCGUUCGUGCGGGGCUGGUGCACGAGGUAGGAGCCAGCUGCACUCGCCUCUUCUUCCCCAGAGGGUGCAGGAGACGUUCCUCGCCCACACUUAAUUCAGUGAAAAGAUUCAAUGGAGUAGGAGGACGAGCAGCAGCAGCAAAUCAGCCUGAUGAUGAUGGGGUGCAGAAGGCAAUGGUGAUCAUGCUGAUGGCAUGA